rnacentral:rRNA from 1 species
CCUACGGGCGGCAGCAGUGAGGAAUAUUGGUCAAUGGACGAGAGUCUGAACCAGCCAAGUAGCGUGCAGGAUGACUGCCCUAUGGGUUGUAACCUUCUUUUAUAUGGGAAUAAAACGUUCCACGUGUGGGAUUUUGUAUGUACCAUAUGAAUAAGGCUCGGCUAACUCCGUGCCAGCAGCCGCGGUACUAAGGAGGAUCCGAGCGUUCCCCGGAUGUGUUGGGUUUAACGGGAGCGUAGGUGGGUUGUUAAGUCAGUUGUGAAAGUUUGCGGCUCAACCGUAAAAUUGCAGUUGAAACUGGCAGUCUUGAGUACAGUAGAGGUAGGCGGAAUUCGUGGUGUAGCGGUGAAAUGCUUAGAUAUCACGAAGAACUCCGAUUGCGAAGGCAGUUCACUGGACUGCAACUGACACUGAGGCUCGAAAGUGUGGGUAUCAAACAGGAUUAGAUACCCUGGUAGUC